GAUGAACGCUGGCGGCGUGCCUAAUACAUGCAAGUCGAGCGAACGGACGAGAAGCUUGCUUCUCUGAUGUUAGCGGCGGACGGGUGAGUAACACGUGGAUAACCUACCUAUAAGACUGGGAUAACUUCGGGACACCGGAGCUAAUACCGGAUGAUAUUUUGAACCGCAUGGUUCAAAAGUGAAAGACGGUCUUGCUGUCACUUAUAGAUGGAUCCGCGCUGCAUUAGCUAGUUGGUAAGGUAACGGCUUACCAAGGCAACGAUGCAUAGCCGACCUGAGAGGGUGAUCGGCCACACGGGAACUGAGACACGGUCCAGACUCCUACGGGAGGCAGCAGUAGGGAAUCGUCCGCAAUGGGCGAAAGCCUGACGGAGCAACGCCGCGUGAGUGAUGAAGGUCUUCGGAUCGUAAAACUCUGUUAUUAGGGAAGAACAUAUGUGUAAGUAACUGUGCACAUCUUGACGGUACCUAAUCAGAAAGCCACGGCUAACUACGUG
rnacentral:rRNA from 1 species